rnacentral:rRNA from 1 species
GACGAACGCUGGCGGCGUGCUUAACACAUGCAAGUCGAACGGACAGACCCUGCGCUUGUGGGGUGCUCGAGUGGCGAACGGGUGAGUAACACGUGUGUAACCUGCCCUUGACUUUGGGAUAACUUCAGGGAACUGGGGCUAAUACCGGAUAGGAGCUCCUGCUGCAUGGUGGGGGACGGAAAGUGUCGGCGGUUGGGGAUGGACUCGCGGCUUAUCAGCUUGAUGGUGGGGUAGUGGCUUACCAAGGCUUCGACGGCUAGCCGGCCUGAGAGGGUGACCGGCGACAUUGGGACUGCGGGAGGGCCCAGACUGCUACGGGAGGCAGCAGUCGGGAAUAUUGCACAAUGGGGGGAAGCCUGAUGCAGCAACGCCGCGUGCGUGAUGACGGCCUUCGGGUUGUAAACCGCUUUCGACUGUGACGAAGCGGGAGUGACGGUAAUGGGUAAAGAAGCAACGGCUAACUACGUG